UCUGCAAGACUGGGAGGAAUGGGAGUGAUAAGAAACUUCUUCAUUAUCAAGGUUUAUUGAAGUCAAAAUGUCCAAAAAUAUCAGUGGCAGUUCUGUGGCAGAGAUGCAAGGAGAUGAAAUGACAUGAAUCAUUUGUGAAUUGAUUAAGGAGAAACUCAUUUUUCCUUAUGUGGAAUUGGAUCUACAUAGCUAUGAUUUAGGCAUAGAGAAUUGUGAUGCCACCAACGACCAGGUCACCAAGGAUGCUGCAGAAACCAUAAAGAAAUAUGACUUUGGUGUCAGGUAGGCCACUAUCACCCCUGAUGAGAAGAAGGUUGAGGAGUUCAAGUUGAAACAAGUGUGGAAAUCACCAAACAGCACCAUACAAAAUAUUCUGGGUGGCACCAUCUACAGAGAAGCCAUUAUCUGCAAAAAUAUUCCCAGGCUUGUGGGCGGACGGGUAAAACUCAUCAUCAUAGGUCAUCGUGCUUAUAGGAAUCAAUACAGAGCAACUGAUUCUGUUGUUCCUGGGCCUGGAAAAGUAGAGAUAACCUACACACCAAGUGACAGAACCCAAAAGGUGACAUACCUGAUACUAACUUUGAAGAGGGUGGUGGUGUUGCCACAGGGAUGUUUAAUUAAGAUAAGUCAGUUGAAGGUUUUGCACACAGUUCCUUCCAAAUGGCUCUGUCUAAGGGUUGGCCUAUGUAUCUGAGCACCAAAAACACUAUUCUGAAGAAAUAUGAUGGGUGUUUGAAAGACAUCUUUCAGGAGAUAUAGGACAAGCAGUAUAAGUCCCAGUUUGAAGCCCAAAAGAUCUAGUAUAAGCAUAGGCUCAUCCAUGACAUGGUGGCCCAAGUUAUGAAAUCAGAGGGAGGCUUCUGGGCCUGUAAAAACCAUGGUGGUAACGUGCAGUCAGACUCUGUGGCCCAAGGGUAUGGUUCUCUCAGCAUGAUCACCAGCAUACUGGUUUGUCUAGAUGGCAAGACAGAAGCAGAGGCUGCCAACGCAGCUGUAACCCGUCACUACCACAUGUACCAGAAAGGACAGGAGAUGUCCACCAAUCCCGUUUCUUCCAUUUUCACCCAGACCAGAGAAUUAGCCCACAGAACAAAGCUUAGUAACAAGAAAGAGCUUGCCUUCUUUGCAAAUGCUUUGGAAGACGUCUGUAUUGAGACAGCUGAGGCUGGCUUCAUGACCAAGGACUUGGCUGCUUGCAUUAAAGGUUUACUCAAUGUGCAACGUUCUGACUACUUGAACACAUUUGAGUUCAUUGAAAAACUUGGAGAAAACUUGAAGAUCACACUAGCUCAGGGCAAACUCUGAGUUCAUACCUGGGCUAAGGAAGAUAAGUGUCUUUUGGUAACUAGGUCUACGGGUUUACAUUUUUCUGUAUCACACUCAAGGAUAAAGGCAAAAUCAAUUUUGCAAUUUGUUUAGAAGCCAGAGUUUAUCUUUUCUAUAAGUUUACAGCCUUUUUCUUAUAUAUACAGUUAUUGCCACCUUUGUGAACAUGGCAAGGGACUUUUUUAAAAUUUUAUUUUAUUUUCUAGUAGCAGCCUAGGAAUUUGGUUAGUACUCAUUUGUAUUCACCGUCACUUUUUCUCAUGUUCUAAUUAUAAAUGACCAAAAUCAAGAAUGCUCCAAAGAGUAAAUGAUAGCCACAGUAUUGUUCCC